ACAGUGGAUUAGGAGUACGUUCCAUUGAAGACUGUCUAGUAUUUCAGGCAAACACACCGUAAUUGCACGCAGCUGUCCGUCGGCGUCACGCAGCGGAUUCUUCGGAUCCUCAGAGAAGAGACGCAUGUUCUCGAUGGCCAUCUGCAAAAAGACAAUUUGGACCUAGUUUACUGGAAAAUCGAUCCGAUAACCAGUUUUGGGCAGUCCUGCCGCGUACAAAUAUACAUUCCUACUAACUCGAACUGUGGAUCCCAUCAAAUACCAUCCAACUGUCUUUAGAAAACCCACCAAGUACGACCGCGUCUCAUCGUUGGGAUCGCCGACCUUGUGCUCGCAC